AUUGAACGCUGGCGGCAGGCCUAACACAUGCAAGUCGAGCGGAUGAAGGGAGCUUGCUCCUGGAUUCAGCGGCGGACGGGUGAGUAAUGCCUAGGAAUCUGCCUGGUAGUGGGGGAUAACGUCCGGAAACGGGCGCUAAUACCGCAUCCGUCCUGAGGGAGAAAGUGGGGGAUCUUCGGACCUCACGCUAUCAGAUGAGCCUAGGUCGGAUUAGCUAGUUGGUGGGGUAAAGGCCUACCAAGGCUACGAUCCGUAACUGGUCUGAGAGGAUGAUCAGUCACACUGGAACUGAGACACGGUCCAGACUCCUACGGUAGGCAGCAGUGGGGAAUAUUGGACAAUGGGCGAAAGCCUGAUCCAGCCAUGCCGCGUGUGUGAAGAAGGUCUUCGGAUUGUAAAGCACUUUAAGUUGGGAGGAAGGGCAGUAAGUUAAUACCUUGCUGUUUUGACGUUACCAACAGAAUAAGCACCGGCUAACUUCGUG
rnacentral:rRNA from 1 species